CCUCACAAAUGUAUUGACACUUUAGAUAUUGAGUGGGUGGAGCCAAGAAGUUAUUUUCUAUGUAGUCAUCUUCAAAGAGGAAAUGAACAUUUACAGCAAGACACCAACAAAGAAAGAAUGACUCGACUGGAAUUAAUCAUUAUAGUCAUGCUUCAGUUUGAAGCAAUCAGUGGACAAACUGAACGACUGUAUAAAAGAGCUGGAGAAGACGUCGUUUUUUCUUGUAAAUUUGAUGCAUCCUCUAGCCAAUGCUCUUAUAUUACCUGGAUUCACGAAGAUUACUAUCAUGGAACAUUAUUGACCAAGGGACUGAAAAUGAGAAAAUCUUCAGCCAAAGCUUCCAGACUGAGUGUUAGCAGUAACUGCUCUCUGAUCAUCAGAAACAUCACUGAUGAAGAUGCUGGUCGACUUGGCUGUAAUUUUGGCCCCAUUGUGUCACUUUAUAUUUUAAGUAUUUCUCCAUCUCCAUUGGAUGUUUAUAGAAGGCUCAGAUUAUCAUGUUCUUUAACGGGUUUUAAAGACUCUUGUGAGCAGUACAAGAUCAUCUGGUUGGAUGAGACUGGAACUGAACAGCCAUCUGAAGACGUCCACAUUGAUCAUCAACAACAUGUUCAUCUUGAUAGACAUUGGAAAUGUAGUUCUGUUUUGAUGGUGAAACACACUGAAAGCAGCAAAAGAUUCACCUGUCAGAUUGUUGAGAACAACAAAGUCAAGAUAGAUGCUGCCUACCAUGUUACUGGUAAGAUAACUUUUGGAUAA
rnacentral:lncRNA from 1 species